rnacentral:rRNA from 1 species
CCCUCUGGUGGGGAAUAACCCUGGGAAACCGGGGCUAAUACCGCAUAAGCCCCUCAAGGGGAAAGCAGCAAUGCGCCGGAGGAGGAGUCCGCGGCCGAUUAGCUCGUUGGUAGGGUAAUGGCCUACCAAGGCUUCGAUCGGUAGCCGGCCUGAGAGGGCACACGGCCACACUGGCACUGAAACACGGGCCAGACUCCUACGGGAGGCAGCAGUGGGGAAUCUUGCACAAUGGGGGAAACCCUGAUGCAGCGACGCCGCGUGAGCGAUGAAGCCCUUCGGGGUGUAAAGCUCUUUCGGCAGGAACGAAUCUUGACGGUACCUGCAAAAGAAGCUGCGGCUAACUACGUGCCAGCAGCCGCGGUAAUACGUAGGCAGCAAGCGUUGUUCGGAGUUACUGGGCGUAAAGAGUGUGUAGGCGGUUCGGUUAGUUCGGUGUGAAAUCUCCCGGCUCAACUGGGAGGGUGCGCCGGAUACUGCCGGGCUUGAGUGCGGGAGAGGAGAGCGGAAUUCCUGGUGUAGCGGUGAAAUGCGUAGAUAUCAGGAGGAACACCGGCGGUGUAGACGGCUCUCUGGACCGUGACUGACGCUGAGACACGAAAGCGUGGGGAGCAAACAGGAUUAGAUACCCUGGUAGUCCACGCCCUAAACGAUGCGCACUUGGUGUGAGCCAUUCAGUUGGUUCGUGCCGGAGCUAACGCGUUAAGU